GACGAACGCUGGCGGCGUGCUUAACACAUGCAAGUCGAACGGAAAGGCCCUGCUUUUGUGGGGUGCUCGAGUGGCGAACGGGUGGGUAACACGUGAGUAGCCUGCCCUUGACUUGGGGAUAACUUCAGGAAACUGGGGCUAAUACCGGAUAGGAGCUCUUGCUGCAUGGUGGGGGUUGGAAAGUUUCGGCGGUUGGGGAUGGACUCGCGGCUUAUCAGCUUGUUGGUGGGGUAGUGGCUUACCAAGCCUUUGACGGGUAGCCGGCCUGAGAGGGUGACCGGCCACAUUGGGACUGAGAUACGGCCCAGACUCCUACGGGAGGCAGCAGUGGGGAAUAUUGCACAAUGGGCGGAAGCCUGAUGCAGCAACGCCGCGUGCGGGAUGACGGCCUUCGGGUUGUAAACCGCUUUCGCCUGUGACGAAGCGUGAGUGACGGUAAUGGGUAAAGAAGCACCGGCUAACUACGUG
rnacentral:rRNA from 1 species